UCAAACAACAAGCACUCAGCGAGUGCAUUGUACGGUUCUUCGAAACGCGUGGAAGUUAAGGAAAAAAGUUUACGGUAGACCACUUCCGAGACGAAAAUGUGCCGGUGAGCACUGUUUACCGGAUCCAGGUAUCCCGGAACGUCGAGCGGAAAACCGGUAGUGGCCGUGCGCCGAAGAUCAAGACGAGAAAGAAAAAGGAAUCUCUGAAAAAGCUGUUUGACAACAAGGACGAACCCUCAAGCAGGAGAGCAUCGUUAGGUCCACAGAGUACACGGACAAGCAGAUACCGACCAUGAAAUCGUUCAGGACGUCGGUCGUGCUGAAUAUAUGUACCAAAAUAAUUGGAGGGCCACGGACACCAAGCAGCCGACCACGAGGAUCCGAAAUUGCAUCCGGGGGAUGGAUGUCAGGGCCGUCAAGCGCUUUUGUAAGAACAUCUCCACCAAGUUGCGCCGUACGGCUGAGCAUGGCCCUUUUGCCAACAUUCACUGUUUUUUUCUGAAGAACAUCCGUUAUGUUUUUAAUAAAAAUAUUGAAAUGCUUUAAA